rnacentral:rRNA from 1 species
ACGAUAACGGCGUCGAGCGGCGGACGGGUGAGUAAUGCCUAGGAAAUUGCCCUGAUGUGGGGGAUAACCAUUGGAAACGAUGGCUAAUACCGCAUAAUGCCUACGGGCCAAAGAGGGGGACCUUCGGGCCUCUCGCGUCAGGAUAUGCCUAGGUGGGAUUAGCUAGUUGGUGAGGUAAGGGCUCACCAAGGCGACGAUCCCUAGCUGGUCUGAGAGGAUGAUCAGCCACACUGGAACUGAGACACGGUCCAGACUCCUACGGGAGGCAGCAGUGGGGAAUAUUGCACAAUGGGCGCAAGCCUGAUGCAGCCAUGCCGCGUGUGUGAAGAAGGCCUUCGGGUUGUAAAGCACUUUCAGUCGUGAGGAAGGUAGUGUAGUUAAUAGCUGCAUUAUUUGACGUUAGCGACAGAAGAAGCACCGGCUAACUCCGUGCCAGCAGCCGCGGUAAUACGGAGGGUGCGAGCGUUAAUCGGAAUUACUGGGCGUAAAGCGCAUGCAGGUGGUUUGUUAAGUCAGAUGUGAAAGCCCGGGGCUCAACCUCGGAAUUGCAUUUGAAACUGGCAGACUAGAGUACUGUAGAGGGGGGUAGAAUUUCAGGUGUAGCGGUGAAAUGCGUAGAGAUCUGAAGGAAUACCGGUGGCGAAGGCGGCCCCCUGGACAGAUACUGACACUCAGAUGCGAAAGCGUGGGGAGCAAACAGGAUUAGAUACCCUGGUAGUCCACGCCGUAAACGAUGUCUACUUGGAGGUUGUGGCCUUGAGCCGUGGCUUUCGGAGCUAACGCGUUAAGUAGACCGCCUGGGGAGUACGGUCGCAAGAUUAAAACUCAAAUGAAUUGACGGGGGCCCGCACAAGCGGUGGAGCAUGUGGUUUAAUUCGAUGCAACGCGAAGAACCUUACCUACUCUUGACAUCCAGAGAACUUUCCAGAGAUGGAUUGGUGCCUUC